UAGGGAAUCUUCGGCAAUGGACGCAAGUCUGACGGAGCAACGCCGCGUGAGUGAAGAAGGUCUUCGGAUCGUAAAACUCUGUUAUUAGGGAAGAACAAAUGUGUAAGUAACUAUGCACAUCUUGACGGUACCUAAUCAGAAAGCCACGGCUAACUACGUGCCAGCAGCCGCGGUAAUACGUAGGUGGCAAGCGUUAUCCGGAAUUAUUGGGCGUAAAGCGCGCGUAGGCGGUUUUUUAAGUCUGAUGUGAAAGCCCACGGCUCAACCGUGGAGGGUCAUUGGAAACUGGAAAACUUGAGUGCAGAAGAGGAAAGUGGAAUUCCAUGUGUAGCGGUGAAAUGCGCAGAGAUAUGGAGGAACACCAGUGGCGAAGGCGACUUUCUGGUCUGUAACUGACGCUGAUGUGCGAAAGCGUGGGGAUCAAACAGG
rnacentral:rRNA from 1 species